rnacentral:rRNA from 1 species
CCUACGGGUGGCAGCAGUGAGGAAUAUUGGUCAAUGGACGAGAGUCUGAACCAGCCAAGUAGCGUGAAGGAUGACUGCCCUAUGGGUUGUAAACUUCUUUUAUAUGGGAAUAAAACGUUCCACGUGUGGGAUUUUGUAUGUACCAUAUGACUAAGGAUCGGCUAACUCCGUGCCAGCAGCCGCGGUAAUACGGAGGAUCCGAGCGUUAUCCGGAUUUAUUGGGUUUAAAGGGAGCGUAGGUGGAUUGUUAAGUCAGUUGUGAAAGUUUGCGGCUCAACCGUAAAAUUGCAGUUGAAACUGGCAGUCUUGAGUACAGUAGAGGUGAGCGGAAUUCGUGGUGUAGCGGUGAAAUGCUUAGAUAUCACGAAGAACUCCGAUUGCGAAGGCAGUUCACUGGACUGCAACUGACACUGAGGCUCGAAAGUGUGGGUAUCAAACAGGAUUAGAUACCCGAGUAGUC